rnacentral:rRNA from 1 species
GAUGAACGCUGGCGGCGUGCCUAAUACAUGCAAGUCGAGCGAACAGAUGAGGAGCUUGCUCCUCUGACGUUAGCGGCGGACGGGUGAGUAACACGUGGAUAACCUACCUAUAAGACUGGGAUAACUUCGGGAAACCGGAGCUAAUACCGGAUAAUAUAUUGAACCGCAUGGUUCAAUAGUGAAAGACGGUUUUGCUGUCACUUAUAGAUGGAUCCGCGCCGCAUUAGCUAGUUGGUAAGGUAACGGCUUACCAAGGCAACGAUGCGUAGCCGACCUGAGAGGGUGGUCGGCCACACUGGAGCUGAGACACGGUCCAGACUCCUACGGGAGGCAGCAGUAGGGAAUCUUCCGCAAUGGGCGAAAGCCUGACGGAGCAACGCCGCGUGAGUGAUGAAGGUCUUCGGAUCGUAAAACUCUGUUAUUAGGGGAGAACAAAUGUGUAAGUAACUGUGCACGUCUUGACGGUACCUAAUCAGAAAGCCACGGCUAACUACGUG